AAAUAUAUAUUUCAAACCACUUAUACUACUUUUUACCAUUCAAACAAUUUGAACCGCACCGCAUGUUGUAUUUGUUUAUCAUUCAUGUAUUGAUCAAUACCGCUUGUUAUGUAGUAACCGCACUUGUUCCGCAUAAUGCGUUUUUUUGAACUACACCACUGUUAAACCGCACCGCACUUCCAUAACUACUUGUCCCGCACCGUCCAAACCGAUGUCACCAUUCGAAGCCUCAAUACAUAAAAUGUUCACCAAUCAUGCCCUAUUUAUACUUUCCAAUGCCCAUAGUCAAUUUGUUUACUGAAAAAUAUAAGAAAUUUUUUUUUGACUAAAAAAUAUGGAGCAUGAUAUAUCCAUUACGAUCAACUCUUUUUCGUUUGGAUUUUGUUAUUAAAAUAUGUACAAAUUGUUGGGUGAUUGUAAGCAUCAAAGUGAGUAAUCCAAAAAUGAGUAAUAUCAAAGUUAAUAACACCAAUAAUUGGUUUAGCUUAACCAAGUUUAUUAUGAGGGAAGGUUUAGCUUUCUUGGUUUCGUUAUUGUCUAUAUAUUAUGUGUGAGAGAUCUGUAAGAGCUUUAUAACAAAUUCCUUUUUUUUUUUUGAAAUUCCGGUUCUAUAAUCUAUCAAAUCCAUUUUCUAAAAGCAAGAGUAUCAUAAUAUCUAAAAGCUAUAGACUAAAGACACUUGAAUAAUUUUACCUCCCUUCUUGGAACCCCUUUCAGCUCUAUUUGCCUCUUCCCUUGCUAAAUAUUCUACAAUCAACAAAUCAUUUUCUGCUUUUUGUAUCUCAUCCAAAGCUUCCAACAUUUUCUUGGGGUAAUUUAUUGUAGUGGAAACAUCCUCACUUUGCUUCUUCAAACCCAAAACAAUCCACUUUGAAACCAUCUUAAUCAUGGCAUCAUCUCUCUCUUUUUUCUUUUUUGAAGACAGUUUGGAAGCUUGCCUAAGGCAUCUGAUUUCUUGGAGUUCUCUUCGAAUAUGAUUUUGCCAAACCGGAGUUUAAAGGAGAAUUUUCCAACUUUGACUUCAUCAUCAUGACCAACUUCAAUGGCAUGAAGAGGAGCAUGAGGAGAUGAAGAUGAAGCUUCUUCUUUCAAAAGAUUAUGCACCCUUUCCACACCUUUGUAACUAAAGAAUCCCCAAUUUUCUCUCAAGAAAAACUGCCUUUUGGUGGGAUCCCUAUCACUUCAUGAACAACAUCAAGAAAGGUUUUAAAACUUUUGGUGUUCUCCCCAUUUUUCUCUCGCUAAUUUUUCGUUUCAGAGUGUUUCUGAUGAAAAGUAGAGAAGACGAAGAAUUAACUUUGAACUUUAAAACAAUGUAAAGCAAAAAUUGAAUUAAAGGAGUCAUUGAUGAUCAGAGCGCAGAGCUGCUCAAAGAGCAAAAGAUCGGGACUUGGAGAAGAAUUUCUGUUUAUGGGAAGAACAAAAGGUUUUCGUCAAUGAAGAUAGAGAGACCUUAAAUUAGGGCAUCUCCAACCCUACUCUAUUUUCGAUUAAAAAUUCAAAAUUAUUCUCCAACCCUACUCUAUAUUUGACUCAUGAAAAUAGAGAUUUAUACAAAAUUGCUUUAUAUGAAAUAGAGAUUUAUGCAGAAUUGCUCUAUAUAUAGAGAAACUAUAUUCUCUACUCUAUUUUAGAGUUCAACUUUUUUGUUUAUACUUUAGUCCCUCAAAUUUAAAUUUUUUUUAUUUAAUACAUAUUAUCGUUUUACAAACAACAAUUCAACACUUAGUUUUAUGAGGGAUGUGACAGAAGCAAUUAAUAACAUCAAUAAUUGGUUUAGCUUAACCAAUUUUAUUAUGAGGGAAGGUUUAGCUUUCUUGGUUUAGUUAUUGUCUAUAUAUUAUGUGUGAGAGAUCUGUGAGAGCUUUAUAACAAAUUCCUAAUUUUCUUUGAAAUUCCGGUUCUAUAAUCUAUCAAAUCCAUUUUCUAUAAGCAAUAGUAUCAUAAUAUCUAAAAGCUAUAGAGUAAAGACACUUGAAUAAUUUUAUAUCCCUUCUUGGAGUCUCUUUCAUCUCUAUUUGCCUCUUUCCUUGGUAUUUACGAGGUACGAUGAGUAAUACAUCUCAAUGUUGCUCUAUACGACUCAUAAAAAAAUUUAUACAUGAUCUCAGAAAACUAUAAGCUGUGCCGGCGCAUGGGGUAAGCAACGUAAGCUGUCGCUUACCGCCCAACUUUUCUUUUCUAUUUUUUUUUGGUUUGUU
rnacentral:sRNA from 1 species